rnacentral:tRNA from 6 species
ACGGGACUAGCUCAGUUGGUAGAGCACCGGUCUCCAAAACCGGGUGUCGGGAGUUCGAGUCUCUCGUCCCGUGCUA